CAAGACCUGCGCUUUUGGAGCGGCCGAUGCCUGAUUAGCUUGUUGGUAAGGUAAAAGCUUACCAAGGCUUCGAUCAGUAGCUGGUCUGAGAGGACGACCAGCCACACUGGGACUGAGACACGGCCCAGACUCCUACGGGAGGCAGCAGUGGGGAAUUUUGGACAAUGGGGGCAACCCUGAUCCAGCCAUGCCGCGUGAGUGAAGAAGGCCUUCGGGUUGUAAAGCUCUUUCAGCCGGAACGAAACGGUUACGGUUAAUACCCGUGACUACUGACGGUACCGGAAGAAGAAGCACCGGCUAACUACGUGCCAGCAGCCGCGGUAAUACGUAGGGUGCGAGCGUUAAUCGGAAUUACUGGGCGUAAAGCGUGCGCAGGUGGUUUUGUAAGUCAGAUGUGAAAGCCCCGGGCUCAACCUGGGAACU
rnacentral:rRNA from 1 species